rnacentral:lncRNA from 1 species
AGCUAGCCUUUAGAUUUGUCUGUUAACAGUAGAAAUGCUAUAAGAAAUCGGUAACAUAUGUUGCCAGGCAGGGAAAAGUGGUAGACAAGAGCCUGGGAGACCAAGCCAAAUUGCUUUCUUACCCAAAUUAUCUCCGUGAUUGCCUGCCCUGCGGCUUUGGGCCAAUGCAAACUACAAAAUGGCAAGUCUUACAAUAUUGUCUCUCCUUGUCUGGCCUCUAUCCUCCUUCCAGAAUGAACAGAGCUAUAUCCCUAAGCACUGGACCUUGAUUUCACAGCCUCAUCCAAAGCCAGGCAAUUCUUGAGGCAAACAAACAAAGGGGUGUGAGUGAUUUCAUUUAUUUUGAUAAUCCUCUGUCUGCACAGGGGCACUUUGCUGUCUUUGUCAAAGUGAAUGACAACAAUUUGGCCAACUCUCUCUGAGCUGCACUCAACAGUGACAGGCAAAUUAUCAGAGGCCCUGCACUUCUUAUUAUCAGAGGGGAAGCCAUCAGGGGGACGCAGGGAGGAUGCCUCUCCCUUGUCACUAUUUGUCAGUGGGACAAGGGCCA